GCCCUGGAGCUAUUUAUCACCAAUCUGUACAGAGAAGCAAGAAGUCUGCAUGUCAUAGGAGCAACCAUCACCGGAGUUCUCCGCAUUUGAUUCUGCAACUCUAAAGCUGGCUCUUAGAACUGGCUUGAGGUGUUGGUAGCUGCACCUCUGGAAAGAGCCUUUUGUUAGGGCCCGAAGGCAUCUGGACUCACUUCUCUGAAAGCACACUCCUCUCCACACUAGGAAGCUUUAUGUUCUCCCUGGAGAAAAGCAACCUAGUUAACCCUCUAAGCGUAUUGUUAUUUAUUAUUUUAUUGAGCAAUAAACUAAAGUGUGAUUGA